rnacentral:rRNA from 1 species
AGGGUUUGAUCAUGGCUCAGAUUGAACGCUGGCGGCGUGCCUAACACAUGCAAGUCGAGCGGUAACAGGUGUAGCAAUACAUGCUGACGAGCGGCGGACGGGUGAGUAACGCUUGGGAAUCUGCCUGUUAGUGGGGGACAACCCGGGGAAACUCGGGCUAAUACCGCAUACGCACUACGGUGGAAAGCCGGGGACCGCAAGGCCUGGCGCUAACAGAUGAGCCCAAGUCGGAUUAGCUAGUUGGUAGGGUAACGGCCUACCAAGGCGACGAUCCGUAACUGGUCUGAGAGGACGACCAGUCACACCGGAACUGAGACACGGUCCGGACUCCUACGGGAGGCAGCAGUGGGGAAUAUUGGACAAUGGGGGCAACCCUGAUCCAGCGACGCCGCGUGGGUGAAGAAGGCCUGCGGGUUGUAAAGCCCUUUCGGUUGGGAAGAAAAGCUGUGACCUAACACGUCGCGGCCUUGACGUAACCAACUAAAGAAGCACCGGCUAACUCUGUGCCAGCAGCCGCGGUAAUACAGAGGGUGCGAGCGUUAAUCGGAAUUACUGGGCGUAAAGCGCGCGUAGGCGGCUUUGCAAGCCGGAUGUGAAAUCCCCGGGCUUAACCUGGGAACUGCAUUCGGGACUGCAUUGCUAGAGUAUGGGAGAGGGAAGUGGAAUUUCAGGUGUAGCGGUGAAAUGCGUAGAUAUCUGAAGGAACAUCAGUGGCGAAAGCGACUUCCUGGACCAAUACUGACGCUCAUGUGCGAAAGCGUGGGGAGCAAACAGGAUUAGAUACCCUGGUAGUCCACGCCAUAAAC